AAAUUGAAGAGUUUGAUCAUGGCUCAGAUUGAACGCUGGCGGCAGGCCUAACACAUGCAAGUCGAGCGGAAACGGCAAUAAAGAUUCUUCGGAUGAUUUAUUGGACGUCGAGCGGCGGACGGGUGAGUAAUGCUUAGGAAUUUGCCCAGUCGAGGGGGAUAACUAUUGGAAACGAUAGCUAAUACCGCAUACGCCCUACGGGGGAAAAGAGGGGACCUUCGGGCCUUCUGCGAUUGGAUAAGCCUAAGUGAGAUUAGCUAGUUGGUGAGGUAAUGGCUCACCAAGGCGACGAUCUCUAGCUGGUCUGAGAGGAUGAUCAGCCACACUGGAACUGAGACACGGUCCAGACUCCUACGCAAUUAUUUGACGUUAGCGACAGAAGAAGCACCGGCUAACUCCGUGCCAGCAGCCGCGGUAAUACGGAGGGUGCGAGCGUUAAUCGGAAUUACUGGGCGUAAAGCGCAUGCAGGUGGUUUGUUAAGUCAGAUGUGAAAGCCCCAGGCUCAACCUGGGAAGGUCAUUUGAAACUGGCAAACUAGAGUACUGUAGAGGGGGGUAGAAUUUCAGGUGUAGCGGUGAAAUGCGUAGAGAUCUGAAGGAAUACCAGUGGCGAAGGCGGCCCCCUGGACAGAUACUGACACUCAGAUGCGAAAGCGUGGGGAGCAAACAGGAUUAGAUACCCUGGUAGUCCACGCCGUAAACGAUGUCUACUUGGAGGUUGUGGCCUUGAGCCGUGGCUUUCGGAGCUAACGCGUUAAGUAGACCGCCUGGGGAGUACGGUCGCAAGAUUAAAACUCAAAUGAAUUGACGGGGGCCCGCACAAGCGGUGGAGCAUGUGGUUUAAUUCGAUGCAACGCGAAGAACCUUACCUACUCUUGACAUCCAGAGAAGCCAGCGGAGACGCAGGUGUGCCUUCGGGAGCUCUGAGACAGGUGCUGCAUGGCUGUCGUCAGCUCGUGUUGUGAAAUGUUGGGUUAAGUCCCGCAACGAGCGCAACCCUUAUCCUUGAUUGCCAGCACUUCGGGUGGGAACUUCAGGGAGACUGCCGGUGAUAAACCGGAGGAAGGUGGGGACGACGUCAAGUCAUCAUGGCCCUUACGAGUAGGGCUACACACGUGCUACAAUGGCGCAUACAGAGGGCAGCCAACUUGCGAAAGUGAGCGAAUCCCAAAAAGUGCGUCGUAGUCCGGAUUGGAGUCUGCAACUCGACUCCAUGAAGUCGGAAUCGCUAGUAAUCGUAGAUCAGAAUGCUACGGUGAAUACGUUCCCGGGCCUUGUACACACCGCCCGUCACACCAUGGGAGUGGGCUGCAAAAGAAGUAGGUAGUUUAACCUUCGGGGGGACGCUUACCACUUUGUGGUUCAUGACUGGGGUGAAGUCGUAACAAGGUAGCCCUAGGGGAACCUGGGGCUGGAUCACCUCCUUAAUACGAAGAU
rnacentral:rRNA from 1 species